GACGAACGCUGGCGGCGUGCCUAAUACAUGCAAGUGGAACGCAUGAUUGAUACCGGAGCUUGCUCCACCAUUAAUCAUGAGUCGCGAACGGGUGAGUAACGCGUAGGUAACCUACCUCAUAGCGGGGGAUAACUAUUGGAAACGAUAGCUAAUACCGCAUAACAGUAUUUAUCACAUGGUAAAUGCUUGAAAGGAGCAAUUGCUUCACUAUGAGAUGGACCUGCGUUGUAUUAGCUAGUUGGUGGGGUAACGGCUCACCAAGGCAUCGAUACAUAGCCGACCUGAGAGGGUGAUCGGCCACACUGGGACUGAGACACGGCCCAGACUCCUACGGGAGGCAGCAGUAGGGAAUCUUCGGCAAUGGGGGGAACCCUGACCGAGCAACGCCGCGUGAGUGAAGAAGGUUUUCGGAUCGUAAAGCUCUGUUGUAAGAGAAGAACGUGUGUGAGAGUGGAAAGUUCACACAGUGACGGUAACUUACCAGAAAGGGACGGCUAACUACGUG
rnacentral:rRNA from 1 species